UACGAAGGGUGCAAGCGUUACUCGGAAUUACUGGGCGUAAAGCGUGCGCAGGCGGUUUUGUAAGCCAGAUGUGAAAGCCCCGGGCUUAACCUGGGAAUGGCAUUUGGGACUGCAAGGCUAGAGUGUGGCAGAGGAGACUGGAAUUCCUGGUGUAGCAGUGAAAUGCGUAGAUAUCAGGAGGAAUACCGAUGGCGAAGGCAGGUCUCUGGGUUAACACUGACGCUCAUGCACGAAAGCGUGGGGAGCAAACAGG
rnacentral:rRNA from 1 species